GGGGGGGGUCGAGCGUUAUUCGGAAUUAUUGGGCGUAAAGGGCGCGUAGGUGGUCAUGUAAGUCAAGCGUGAAAGCCUUUGGCUUAACCAGAGAAUUGCGUUUGAAACUGCAUGACUUGAGUUCGGGAGAGGGAAGUGGAAUUCCCAGUGUAGCGGUGAAAUGCGUAGAUAUUGGGAGGAACAUCGGUGGCGAAGGCGACUUCCUGGACCGACACUGACGCUGAGGCGCGAAAGCUAGGGGAGCAAACGGGAUUAGAUACCCCGGGUAGUCCUAGCUGUAAACGAUGGGCACUUGGUGUAGGGGGUAUCGACCCCCCUCCUGUGCCGAAGCUAACGCAUUAAGUGCCCCGCCUGGGGAGUACGGUCGCAAGGCUG
rnacentral:rRNA from 1 species